GGGUUGUGAGGUUAAGCGACUAAGCGUACACGGUGGAUGCCCUGGCAGUCAGAGGCGAUGAAGGACGUGCUAAUCUGCGAUAAGCGUCGGUAAGGUGAUAUGAACCGUUAUAACCGGCGAUUUCCGAAUGGGGAAACCCAGUGUGUUUCGACACACUAUCAUUAACUGAAUCCAUAGGUUAAUGAGGCGAACCGGGGGAACUGAAACAUCUAAGUACCCCGAGGAAAAGAAAUCAACCGAGAUUCCCCCAGUAGCGGCGAGCGAACGGGGAGCAGCCCAGAGCCUGAAUCAGUGUGUGUGUUAGUGGAAGCGUCUGGAAAGGCGCGCGAUACAGGGUGACAGCCCCGUACACAAAAAUGCACAUGCUGUGAGCUCGAUGAGUAGGGCGGGACACGUGGUAUCCUGUCUGAAUAUGGGGGGACCAUCCUCCAAGGCUAAAUACUCCUGACUGACCGAUAGUGAACCAGUACCGUGAGGGAAAGGCGAAAAGAACCCCGGCGAGGGGAGUGAAAAAGAACCUGAAACCGUGUACGUACAAGCAGUGGGAGCACGCUUAGGCGUGUGACUGCGUACCUUUUGUAUAAUGGGUCAGCGACUUAUAUUCUGUAGCAAGGUUAACCGAAUAGGGGAGCCGAAGGGAAACCGAGUCUUAACUGGGCGUUAAGUUGCAGGGUAUAGACCCGAAACCCGGUGAUCUAGCCAUGGGCAGGUUGAAGGUUGGGUAACACUAACUGGAGGACCGAACCGACUAAUGUUGAAAAAUUAGCGGAUGACUUGUGGCUGGGGGUGAAAGGCCAAUCAAACCGGGAGAUAGCUGGUUCUCCCCGAAAGCUAUUUAGGUAGCGCCUCGUGAAUUCAUCUCCGGGGGUAGAGCACUGUUUCGGCAAGGGGGUCAUCCCGACUUACCAACCCGAUGCAAACUGCGAAUACCGGAGAAUGUUAUCACGGGAGACACACGGCGGGUGCUAACGUCCGUCGUGAAGAGGGAAACAACCCAGACCGCCAGCUAAGGUCCCAAAGUCAUGGUUAAGUGGGAAACGAUGUGGGAAGGCCCAGACAGCCAGGAUGUUGGCUUAGAAGCAGCCAUCAUUUAAAGAAAGCGUAAUAGCUCACUGGUCGAGUCGGCCUGCGCGGAAGAUGUAACGGGGCUAAACCAUGCACCGAAGCUGCGGCAGCGACACUAUGUGUUGUUGGGUAGGGGAGCGUUCUGUAAGCCUGUGAAGGUGUGCUGUGAGGCAUGCUGGAGGUAUCAGAAGUGCGAAUGCUGACAUAAGUAACGAUAAAGCGGGUGAAAAGCCCGCUCGCCGGAAGACCAAGGGUUCCUGUCCAACGUUAAUCGGGGCAGGGUGAGUCGACCCCUAAGGCGAGGCCGAAAGGCGUAGUCGAUGGGAAACAGGUUAAUAUUCCUGUACUUGGUGUUACUGCGAAGGGGGGGACGGAGAAGGCUAUGUUGGCCGGGCGACGGUUGUCCCGGUUUAAGCGUGUAGGCUGGUUUUCCAGGCAAAUCCGGAAAAUCAAGGCUGAGGCGUGAUGACGAGGCACUACGGUGCUGAAGCAACAAAUGCCCUGCUUCCAGGAAAAGCCUCUAAGCAUCAGGUAACAUCAAAUCGUACCCCAAACCGACACAGGUGGUCAGGUAGAGAAUACCAAGGCGCUUGAGAGAACUCGGGUGAAGGAACUAGGCAAAAUGGUGCCGUAACUUCGGGAGAAGGCACGCUGAUAUGUAGGUGAAGUCCCUCGCGGAUGGAGCUGAAAUCAGUCGAAGAUACCAGCUGGCUGCAACUGUUUAUUAAAAACACAGCACUGUGCAAACACGAAAGUGGACGUAUACGGUGUGACGCCUGCCCGGUGCCGGAAGGUUAAUUGAUGGGGUUAGCCGCAAGGCGAAGCUCUUGAUCGAAGCCCCGGUAAACGGCGGCCGUAACUAUAACGGUCCUAAGGUAGCGAAAUUCCUUGUCGGGUAAGUUCCGACCUGCACGAAUGGCGUAAUGAUGGCCAGGCUGUCUCCACCCGAGACUCAGUGAAAUUGAACUCGCUGUGAAGAUGCAGUGUACCCGCGGCAAGACGGAAAGACCCCGUGAACCUUUACUAUAGCUUGACACUGAACAUUGAGCCUUGAUGUGUAGGAUAGGUGGGAGGCUUUGAAGUGUGGACGCCAGUCUGCAUGGAGCCGACCUUGAAAUACCACCCUUUAAUGUUUGAUGUUCUAACGUUGACCCGUAAUCCGGGUUGCGGACAGUGUCUGGUGGGUAGUUUGACUGGGGCGGUCUCCUCCUAAAGAGUAACGGAGGAGCACGAAGGUUGGCUAAUCUGGUCGGACAUCAGGAGGUUAGUGCAAUGGCAUAAGCCAGCUUGACUGCGAGCGUGACGGCGCGAGCAGGUGCGAAAGCAGGUCAUAGUGAUCCGGUGGUUCUGAAUGGAAGGGCCAUCGCUCAACGGAUAAAAGGUACUCCGGGGAUAACAGGCUGAUACCGCCCAAGAGUUCAUAUCGACGGCGGUGUUUGGCACCUCGAUGUCGGCUCAUCACAUCACGGGGCUGAAGUAGGUCCCAAGGGUAUGGCUGUUCGCCAUUUAAAGUGGUACGCGAGCUGGGUUUAGAACGUCGUGAGACAGUUCGGGUCCCUAUCUGCCGUGGGCGCUGGAGAACUGAGGGGGGCUGCUCCUAGUACGAGAGGACCGGAGUGGACGCAUCACUGGUGUUCGGGUUGUCAUGCCAAUGGCACUGCCCGGUAGCUAAAUGCGGAAGAGAUAAGUGCUGAAAGCAUCUAAGCACGAAACUUGCCCCGAGAUGAGUUCUCCCUGACUCCUUGAGAGUCCUGAAGGAACGUUGAAGACGACGACGUUGAUAGGCCGGGUGUGUAAGCGCAGCGAUGCGUUGAGCUAACCGGUACUAAUGAACCGUGAGGCUUAACCUUACAACGCCGAAGGUGUUU
rnacentral:rRNA from 1 species